rnacentral:lncRNA from 1 species
CAUUCACUUUCUUAUUUAUUCAUCGAUUUCUCAUUUCCAUCAAACUGCCGAUUGGUUCUCCGUUUCUCUCUCUACUAUAGGAACUUCUGUAUCUGCUUCUCUCUCUACAUUCUGCUCUUCGUUGAUUUUGGUAAGGUUUGUUGCCGUUCUCAUUUCGGGAAUGUCUGUGCGUUUUGUUUGGGUUUUUACAGUUUUCUUCAAUUUCGUAGAAUUGUUUGUGUUAAUCAUAUUUUUUUAUCACCUGGUUUUAGAUCUCAGACAUUUCUCUGUUUUGAGUUUUUUUCACUUUCUUAAUUGAAGGUGGGUGAAUUUUGUUUUCUGAUUGUUUUUUCAGCUGAUUUAAAAAUUAAAUUGGAUUCCUUUGUUUUGCUUAGGCUUUACUUUCUAUCUGCGGUUUUCUUUUUGUUGGGUGAUAAGCUAUGAAAUUCCUUGAGUGUUGCUGGUUGUUGACCGAUAAAAUCUGGUAAAUUUCUGAGGGAAUGUUUCAAUUUAUUUAAUGGAAACAGGUAUCAGUUUGAAUUGUGUGUUUGUAUUUUGCUCCAAGCUAGAGAGUUCUGCAUCUACCUAGAGUUUUCCUCUCUCUCUCUCUCUCUAUAUAUAUAUAUAUAUGUGUGUGUGUGUGUGUGUGUGUGUGUGUAUCAUUUGAAUCUUAGAGAUUAGAACAGGUAGCAUUCAUGAAUUUUGACUUUGGAUGAGAAAAAAGUAGUUAGAUGUUAGAUGUGCUGCGGCUGUCGUAUUUCAUACACCUGUUGUCCAAUUUGAUGCACGUUAACAAUUAUCCAACCAACUUCGUGCACUGCUCUCGGUGUAGCCUGAAUACUACCACAUUUCCGGUAGCCUGGAAUAAGGGGAAGGUGGUUCGAGGGUUGGACCAUCUUGGAUGCGUUAAUUGAAUGUUUUAUUUCAUUUGCUUGUUUUUUUGUUUGAUUGCACUUUGGAAUCCUCUAAUUUAAAAGGUUUUUGUUUGAGAAUUUUGUAGAACCGAGAGUCUUGGAAAAGAGAGGAUUUUCUUUGGAAGAUUUGAUAUGAUAGUAAAGACAGUGUUUGUUUAAAAUUUGAGGGAGAAAAUCUAUUAAAUAUGUUGGACGAGAUAUUUAUGUGAGAAAAAGUUGCUACUUGUUUUAUAAGAAUGGGAGAUUGAUUUCGUUCAUGGUUGGUAGUGAGCUGUAGAAUUACUGAUUAUGAGGGUUAGUUUCCAAGUUUGUAACAGCAACACCUUCUUAUGAUAUUGGAUCCUCAUUAAGGUUGAUUAGUGAGGAGGGCUGUCUCAUGUUCUUUCUCAUUUUAAUUUCUUUUUCCCACUUAAAAUUGUUUAUAUUUGUUUCUUGGGCAGCCUACUCUUUGUCUUUGAUUUUACAAAAUUUAUUUCGAAUUAUCAAGUAGAACUUUUUAAUUGACACCAUCAACUAUGGUACACUUACAAUCCCAGUGGAACAAGAUCAGUUUUUGAAAGAGAGAUUAUGUUUGAUUGUCAUCUUAUAGUAAUUUUGAAGUGAUGGGGAA